rnacentral:rRNA from 1 species
UACGGAGGGGGCGAGCGUUAUUCGGAAUUAUUGGGCGUAAAGGGCGCGUAGGCGGCUUGGCAAGUGGAUGGUGAAAUCCCUCGGCUUAACCGAGGAACUGCCGUCCAAACUGCUUAGCUUGAGACCGGGAGAGGUGAGUGGAAUUCCCAGUGUAGCGGUGAAAUGCGUAGAUAUUGGGAGGAACACCAGUGGCGAAGGCGGCUCACUGGACCGGUACUGACGCUGAGGCGCGAAAGCGUGGGGAGCAAACGGG